AUAAGUUUUGUUCUAGUCUUAUUUAUUGACAAAGACUUUCUCUUCUUAUAGUGUUAAAACAGCUAGAAUAAUCAAAGUGCACAAACAUUCUUAAUAAAUAAGGAAAUACAGGGAAAAAAGUACAAUACCAGUAAACUUCUAUAAACAAGGUUCAUAUUGCACAUUAAAUAAACAAAUAGAAGUAUAAAUAAAUAAAUAGAAGUAUACUGGGUAUGAUUAUAGAAUUCCUGUCAACAAAUUCUGCUUUCCAAGUUCUGUUAAGAAUUAUCUCUAAAAAUGUGAGAUCAUUAUUGGUUUAGCCAAAUGGACACAUGAUGAAUUAGUCAGUCUUCUGACCUCUGAUCCAAAAAUAAUGUUAAAUAUAGAAAAAAAAAAAAAAAAAAA